rnacentral:rRNA from 1 species
CAGAUGCUAAUACCGGAUAACAACACUAGACGCAUGUCUAGAGUUUGAAAAGAUGGUUCUGCUAUCACUCUUGGAUGGACCUGCGGUGCAUUAGCUAGUUGGUAAGGUAACGGCUUACCAAGGCAAUGAUGCAUAGCCGAGUUGAGAGACUGAUCGGCCACAUUGGGACUGAGACACGGCCCAAACUCCUACGGGAGGCAGCAGUAGGGAAUCUUCCACAAUGGACGAAAGUCUGAUGGAGCAACGCCGCGUGAGUGAAGAAGGGUUUCGGCUCGUAAAGCUCUGUUGUUGGAGAAGAACGUGCGUGAGAGUAACUGUUCACGCAGUGACGGUAUCCAACCAGAAAGUCACGGCUAACUACGUGCCAGCAGCCGCGGUAAUACGUAGGUGGCAAGCGUUGUCCGGAUUUAUUGGGCGUAAAGCGAGUGCAGGCGGUUCAAUAAGUCUGAUGUGAAAGCCUUCGGCUCAACCGGAGAAUUGCAUCAGAAACUGUUGAACUUGAGUGCAGAAGAGGAGAGUGGAACUCCAUGUGUAGCGGUGGAAUGCGUAGAUAUAUGGAAGAACACCAGUGGCGAAGGCGGCUCUCUGGUCUGCAACUGACGCUGAGGCUCGAAAGCAUGGGUAGCGAACAGGAUUAGAUACUCUGGUAGUCCAUGCCGUAAACGAUGAGUGAUAAGUGUUGGGAGGUUUCCGCCUCUCAGUGCUGCAGCUAACGCAUUAAGCACUCCGCCUGGGGAGUACGACCGCAAGGUUGAAACUCAAAGGAAUUGACGGGGGCCCGCACAGGCGGUGGAGCAUGUGGUUUAAUUUGAAGCAACGCGAAGAACCUUACCAGGUCUUGACAUCCAGUGCAAACCUAAGAGAUUAGGUGUUCCCUUCGGGGACGCUGAGACAGGUGGUGCAUGGCUGUCGUCAGCUCGCGUCGUGAGAUGUUGGGUUAAGUCCCGCAACGAGCGCAACCCUUGUCAUUAGUUGCCAUCAUUAAGUUGGGCACUCUAAUGAGACUGCCGGUGACAAACCGGAGGAAGGUGGGGAUGACGUCAAGUCAUCAUGCCCCUUAUGACCUGGGCUACACACGUGCUACAAUGGACGGUACAACGAGAAGCGAACCUGCGAAGGCAAGCGGAUCUCUUAAAGCUGUUCUCAGUUCGGACUGUAGGCUGCAACUCGCCUACACGAAGCUGGAAUCGCUAGUAAUCGCGGAUCAGCACGCCGCGGUGAAUACGUUCCCGGGCCUUGCACACACCGCCCGUCA